AUCCAGCUGAUGAGUCCUAAAUAGGACGAAAAGCGUUUCCUGGAU
rnacentral:hammerhead_ribozyme from 1 species